CUCGUGUGGGGGAAGCAGCGGGGCUGGAUCUGAAGGCGGCGGCAGACCCCCGGCCGGCCCCAGCUCUCCCCCCGCGCCCCUGCUCUGGCUUUCCUCUCCCUGAAGCGCUGUGUACACAAAGGGCUAGCUUCUGCCUUUCAAUUAAGUAACGGAAAUUUAUUUACUUUUGCUCUUUCUCCCGUCCCUACACGUAUUUAGCGCCUGUAGCUCCUGUCAGCUUGGGGGUUUAAUUUUUUUUCCCCUCCUCCAGAAUAAGUUAUUUAUUUGUGCUUCUCCGGAGGCAGUUUUAAACCAAACGGCCGGACGAGGGAGGACUCCUGACAGCCUGACCCCGAGGAUCGGCUUGCGAGUGGCGGAGCGGGGUUUAACGGGCCGUCGGGGCGGGAGAGGGCUCCGGCCGAGGGGCUGACCCCCGCCCCAGUGCCCGGGGAGGCCCCGAUGAGUGGGCGGCUUUUUCCCAGCACGUCGGAGGGUCUGAACCUAAGAACAUCCCCUCAGAAAUAAAACCAAACCCACCGAAACCUCCAGGGUACUAUUGUUGGAGAAGGAAGAUUUCCUCGUGUAAGGCGGGGUGGGGUGGCCCGAAGCGGCGAGGACGAUGCUCGGCACCGGCCGGUCCUCCAGGGCUUUCCCGGAGAGCCUUAUAUGGAGGGAGGGGUGGUGGUGUCUCCCCCCUCAUGGGCACGGCUGUGAGGCGCCGUGCCCGGGCCUCGGGGCAGCUGCAGCGUGUUACCGCGCUGGUGUGUCAUUCUAGGUGGCAGACGGAGCGGCUACCGGAGGGGACGGCGGACCUCUGAGGGGAGCCCGUCCAGACAGAAGGGAGAGUUAUGGCAUCCCUCGGGCCGCGAAAGAUCCUGACGUUCUUCCUACGAGAUUCUCUUUUUGAUCUGCUUGUUGUCAAACGGAGUGAUUAGUUUACGGAAUUAUCCGCUCUGGCGUUGUGCCUUCAGGUAGCAGAGGCAUUACGGCUGUACACUUCGCAUUUUCUGAAUGUCUCCGGCUCAUCUACCUCCUCCACUACCACCACUGGAGCUUUCGGGGGCGUAACCCUUGAGUUUAGGAGAUGUAUGAACAAGCAAUCCAUACUGCAAGGAGCACAGCAGAUCUGAAACAUCCAAGUAAUGCAGAGAAAAUAGUUACAUAGCAAGGUAGGAGAAAAGCAAGCUUCAGGACUUAAAAGAGAAGGGCAUAUUCUGAGCUGGUGUAAAUUACGAGUUUCACUGAAACAGGGAAGUGGCUGGUGCUACAGAAAUGGUGGGUUGUUGUUUUUACGUUGCUGUAAUCUGAAACUGUGGCCCCUUCUUCUGGAUAGUGAGUAUGAAGUAAAGGCCUGGACUGCCUUGGCCUGGUGGGGGAAUGAUGCUGGGGAACAGCAGCUGUGCUUUGGGAGGGAGUACCAAAGGGAGCUUUUCCCAACUGGUGAAACCUGGCAAACAAGCUUGUAAAACUGGGGACUGGAGUGAUGGUUUUGCUUUGGAAAGACCUUGUUGCUGCAUUGCCUCUAUGGAGCCAUUAUCAUGCAUGUUUUUCUUUUGCUGCAAUUAACUGCAUUUGUUCUGAAAGUUUUCCUAUCACGAAUAAACUCGGUAUUAAACUCA